CAGGCGGCGAGUGCGGAAGGUUCGCUGCUGGUGCUCGGUCCGGCCUCGCCCAGCCUGCUUCCCGAUUUCUAACUCAAACUUUGAUGUCGGUGGAGUGCUGCUUUGGAAGACAGUGGUGAAGGCUUGGGAUUGAGUGCUGCCAACAGCGGCCUGCGUGUACCCAGUGAGGGUGAGUAUCCUGAGCCAAAUCCAGCCCAAAUUCUGAGCAGAGGUGGCCGAGGUUUGGUUCAUGCUGGGUGUAUCAUCCGAGCCUCUGCAGAGUUCAGAGCAGGCUGGAAAUGGGAAAAGGUGCCUCCACGUGGUGACACUGAGCACGUGCUUUGUGCUGGGGGCCUGCACCUCCUGAGCACCCAGAUGCA